ensembl:lncRNA
AGCGUGUCCAGGACCGUGAUGGAGACAGGACAGCAGCUAACAGGCCUUUGGAGCCCCACACAGACAGGGAUUCAAGACGGGGCUGGUUCAGAGCCCAUCCAUGUACACAUGCAUUUGUCAGCCCUCCCCUCCAGGCUGGCCUUGAUCUAGAGAACCGUGUCGUCCAAAAGGGCAUAUUCAGUAGUGACAAAGAGGUGCCCGGAGACAAAAAAAUGUCAAGCGUUUCAGCACAAGCUGAAAACAUCUGAAGUGAUCAGACAAGAGAACAAAGGAGGGAUGAUUGGUAUAUUUAAUGUGGACCAGCAAUAGAGGUGGUUUCUAAGGGCCUGCACUGAGUCCUGCCUACGGGAGAACUACUAAAGACUAAUGCCUCCAUCUCAGCGUUACUUAGGCUCCAGGAGAGAAAUGGGUCGACUUCAUUUCCACAUCAGGGGGCCUGGAUGCGCUCCAACCACUGGGCCUCCUUCCUCCUGGGGCCAGGCUGGAAGGGGACGCCCGCAGGGAGGCAGGAAGGACAGGGCACUAGAAAGACAAGCAGUCUCUGAGGGUGCAAAAGGAGGGAAAGUGUGGAGGGAAGGUGAGGCAGGUUUCACCCUGUAGGCAGGACCCUGGAGGGGCUGGCGGGGGGUUGGGGGGUGGACACGGGUGCAGUUGUUGUGAGCAGGCUCCCGCACCUGCCCCUCUGCCCCUCCCCUCCCCUGAAGGGCAGACAGGAGAGGGGUCUUCUCCCAAGCCCUGAGCCAACAGCCGGGCUGGUCCCCAGAGUGAAAUCUCCCUUAUUCUGGUUUGGGUUGGAGUGGUGCGGCGGGGAGGAGGGGAAUUGCCAGUCUAGGGCCAAUUAGCUCCUCACCCAUCUGUCUAAGUAAAGCACCAAACCCCAUCUGUGGACCCUGAACGCACCCCCACCAGCUACGUUCCACUCAGAGUCCAUGGCAAACCUACAGCAGGUCAUCGAAGGAGGCUGAGGCUCGUCCCACGGCCUGAAGAGGAAGGCAGCGAAAGGGGACAAGCCGAAGAUCCACACAGUCCGCUGACCUGGGGAGGGGCUAGGUGGGAAACAAAAGAAAGAAAACCAAAAGUCGAAUUGUUGUCUUCAGAAACAUUCAAGAAAAUACCGCACAAUCCAAAAUGUGAGAACAGGAUGCUAUUUAUGAACAGGCAGAGAAUAGGAAAGAAAUCAAAAUUUGAUUGCGGAACUUAAAAUCCCAUGGAAGAGAUGGCAGCCAGGAUGGAGCUCGAGGGAGGCUCGCAACAGAGCUUGCUGGAUGGACUUGCGAUGCAGAAACACACAAGGAGAGAAAGAAGACGUGAUGCAAGAACCUGACCCCAGGGGCUGGGGAGAUCCGGUUGCAACUAGCUGUGCAGACUGGCCGGUGGGUGUUGGAGCAUCGGCCAAGGAUGCAGACAAGCUCAGCACCAUCAGCAGCAGCUCAGGGGACGCAGCAUUGAGCCUUCACGUGGCUGACCGCGUCUGUGUCCCUCCUGUGCCGGCGGCCAUGGAUGCCAUGCUUGCCCGGAGCCCCCGCUUUGUCUUCCUACCUCUCUGUGAUCACAGGGCCUCCCUAGGAUGCACAGUCUGGCUGGCUGCCACCCUCUUCUGCGCCACCCACGGCGCUGAAACUGGGAGUGAUGGCAACACAGCUUCUGUGAAU